rnacentral:rRNA from 1 species
GACGAACGCUGGCGGCGUGCUUAACACAUGCAAGUCGAACGGAAAGGCCCUGCUUUUGUGGGGUGCUCGAGUGGCGAACGGGUGAGUAACACGUGAGUAACCUGCCCUUGACUUUGGGAUAACUUCAGGAAACUGGGGCUAAUACCGGAUAGGAGCUCCUGCUGCAUGGUGGGGGUUGGAAAGUUUCGGCGGUUGGGGAUGGACUCGCGGCUUAUCAGCUUGUUGGUGGGGUAGUGGCUUACCAAGGCUUUGACGGGUAGCCGGCCUGAGAGGGUGACCGGCCCCAUGGGGGCGGGGGACGGGCCCGAGUCCCCCGGGGGGGAGGGGUGGGGGAAAUUGGCCAAUGGGGGGGAGGCUGAUGCAGCAACGCCGCGUGCGGGAUGACGGCCUUCGGGUUGUAAACCGCUUUCGCCUGUGACGAAGCGUGAGUGACGGUAAUGGGUAAAGAAGCACCGGCUAACUACGUG